ensembl:lincRNA Gm28065 predicted gene 28065
CUCCCCCAAACAUAUUCUUUCUUCCUAUCUUUUCUAAAAUACAACAUUCACCUCCAGGGUUGGAAGAUUCCUGUCUCCUUGGAGUGACUCCAUAAAUCAGCUUCAAAUCUUAGAUAUCUGGGCCACUGGCCUUGUCCUCGUUGCCAUUAGCACUGGGAAAUGAGCUUCACUCCAAGUAUCCUGGUGACACAGGGAAGUUGAUCUGAAGGGACAACACUUGGGUGAAGGAGGCACUUGAGCUGGUUUGAGAAAGUGACUCUCAGCAGUGGAAGUUAAAGAGAAGAAGGAAGGGGGCAGAAACUGGAGCAGCAUGGACCCUGCCACCAUCUUCUGGUAUCUCUCCAGAGCUCCACAGACCCUGAAGAAUAACCCACAGUCUUCUCAUGUAGAAAUUCCGUUGAUACCCCAGUUAGACUUUGUCCAAGACAAAGGAGACAAAAGGACAUUCAAAGCUAGGCUCUCAUUGAUUUUGAUCCCAUGUCUUCCUCCUGCUAUUUGGAUAAAGAACGCUCAGCUUCAUGGAAGUUGGGACCACAAGCAAGAAGCAACACAAGCAUGUCAGAUGGCUCCACCAACUCAAGAGAAGAGGCUUCAGAUGAAACUUACCCUGCCAUUCCCUUGGUCUUGGACUACCAUUCUUUAGCUCUGUAAGGAAUAAUAUAUUCCUAUGAUUUGAGCCAUUUAGUCCUUACAUGGUGGCCUGCAAGGACCAAGAUUCCUCUCUCAUAUCUGCAUUCUCCUUGUCCCAAUGAGGCAGUUUUCAAAUCUUUGCAAAUUAAUGGUCUUUCCCUCCAAUCUGAUCUCCCAUAACUCACUACCACCUCCAGAACAGC